UCCUCUUUCUGUCUCUCCGUUCGUCGCAGCCCCCCUUCCGAUUCCCCAUCUUCUCACACACAUCGCCGCCACCAACCACCACAUCGCCUCCUCCACUUCUCGUCGCCAGCCCUUUCCCUCCUCUCACCUCGCUGCUCCGGCAGCUGCCAGAUCCGCCGCAACCCCCACCAAUCCAUCUCUCCCUCUCCUGCGAAUCGUCGCGCCGCCACCAACAUCCGCAGAUUCCGGCGACGUCCGCCACCGUGCAGCACGCUCGCGAGAUCGUCUCCGACGCCUCCACCCUCCAGCCCGGCUGGAUCCGCCGCUCCCAGCCCCUUGCGCUCGCACUCAACCCCUAGCCCAUGUCUAGGGUUUCGGCUGCGGUGGCGCAUCCGUCGCUUGCGCGUCUCGAGCUGCAGCACUCCGUCGUGCAUCGCGCCCCCUUGCACCUCUCUGCCUCCCCUAGCUCAGUGCGCUCGACUGCGUCGGGCUGGACGGCGGCGACCCCGACCCCCUCUUCCGCGUCUCCGGCGCAGCGGUGCGUCCUGUGGCAACCUCCUCUGUCACGCGAGACGGUGUCUGACCUGCAUUGCUUACAAAGGUCUCCUGUCUCCACUUGAUCAACGAAGGUUGAUGAUUACAACUGAACGACUGAAUCAGUCCACUGGCAGAAUUAAAAAUAGCUGAAGAACUAUGCUGGAGAUAAAAGAGCUGGGUGUGUCAAUUCUUUAGGACCUUCAUCAGCAACGACAAUCACUACUGCAUGCUCACACUACAGUGCAUAGUCAAUCAUAACUGCUUGAUAAUAGUUUAGAUAUACUUCCCUGAAAUGUUAUGUGAACCAUCGUUGGCUAUAUAGCUCUUCUGUUCAUCAUUACUUCCAGCUUGGUUGUUAUUUCUUGUGGUACUGGUAGAGAUCAGAUUGCCAUAACCCAUUAUAUAAGUUCUAGGUUUGAUUGAUUUCCUCUACCAAUUCUAAAUAUAAUAAUCAAAAUUUGCAUUUGUUUAAUGCAAGAUCUGUUAUCAAAAUUGAGAUUUAGUGGUUCAAGUUUAUUAAAUCAUGUUAAGUGCAGUGUAAAUUUGAAAGUGUCUCCACCUUGAACAUUUCAUUUAUUCUUGUUUUCUCACCAUUAAUAGGUAUUAUUUAUAAUCUACUUCCUCAAUUCUGAAAUAAUUGAAUUUGAUCAAGUUUAUAAGAAGCUAUAUCAACAUCUACGCCACAUAUUUAGUUUCAUUAAAUUCAGUGAAAAAUACAUUUAUGUAAAAAGAGGUCACUUGGCUGUUCUUGAUACUAUAGUAUACCUAUUAUGUCUAUUCUCACACGUAGAUAGGUGUAUUUUUUUACAUAAGAAAAAUGACAUCAAGUUAGUUCAUGAUCAUGGUUUAGGAAAAAAAAGGUGUGCACUAUGGUAAAAAGAAGUACAGUUUUGUUGCAAGUAGUUUUCCAGAAACAACAACUUCCCUUGUUCCCCUAUCCCUUUAUUAUUUGUCAACACCCCUUUGAUCUUUGAGAUGAUAAUUUUUCAAAGGUACCUACAGUUGCACAACAAGGUGGAGCUCCUCAGCUCUUUGGCAUGGAUUACUUGGUGGUCAGAGCCAAAAAUGAAGUUGGAGGUGUAGGCGUGAACUUGAUGAUUAAGAGGAUCUGUACAAACUUGUAUAUUUGUUGAUGUAAUCUGGUGUAAUUAUUACUGAGGGCAUGUGAUGUGAAGUUGGAUGUAUUAUUGGCCACGUUUUAAAAGGGCUUUACUCAGUGAAAUAAUUGAAUGGAAAUUUGUGAAAUGCUUCA